UAACAAACCAAAAAAAAUCAAAAA
rnacentral:sRNA from 1 species